GGGGCGGGUGAUAUCGAGAGUGUCUUCAUUGACCUCUCACCCUUCACAUCCACAUACACCUGUGCACCGUUUGGCUCUUUUAAAAGACGCAAGUCUGCAAAGAGAGUCAUCAAUUUUAUACAUACCCCAGUCUUAUGAAUGUAACAGUUUUAAUAAACAUAAUAAAACUUUUAACAACGGAUCUCUUGGUUCUCGCAUCGAUGAAGAACGCAGCGAAAUGCGAUAAGUAAUGUGAAUUGCAGAAUUCAGUGAAUCAUCGAAUCUUUGAACGCACCUUGCGCUCCUUGGUAUUCCGAGGAGCAUGCCUGUUUGAGUGUCAUGAAACUCUCAACCUUCAACUUUUUUAUUAAGGCUGAAGGCUUGGACUUGAGCGCUGCUGGUUUUCACUAACCGGCUCGCUUGAAAUGAAUUAGCAGAUCCUUUUUGUAAUCGGUUCCACUCGACGUGAUAAGUAUUUCGCCGAGGACAUACGAAAGUAUGGCCGAGAUAAGAGAAGUCUUUUAGAUCCGCUUCUAAUUCUUAGAUCAAGCUUGCUUGACUAAACCCCAUUUUAUGAUCUGGCCUCAAAUCAGGUAGGACUACCCGCUGAACUUAAGCAUAUCAAAA
rnacentral:rRNA from 1 species